UACUAACCAGAUCCGACCCUGCUUAGCUUCCGAGGUCAGAGGAGAUCGGGCAUGUUCAGGGAGGUAUGACCAUAGAC
rnacentral:sRNA from 1 species